UACGGGGGGGGCAAGCGUUGUUCGGAAUUAUUGGGCGUAAAGAGCUUGUAGGCGGUUUGUCGCGUCUGCCGUGAAAACUCGGGGCUUAACCCCGGGCCUGCAGUGGGUACGGGCAGACUAGAGUGCGGUAGGGGAGACUGGAAUUCCUGGUGUAGCGGUGAAAUGCGCAGAUAUCAGGAGGAACACCGGUGGCGAAGGCGGGUCUCUGGGCCGUAACUGACGCUGAGGAGCGAAAGCAUGGGGAGCGAACAGG
rnacentral:rRNA from 1 species